UACAGAGGGGGCAAGCGUUGUUCGGAAUUACUGGGCGUAAAGGGCGCGUAGGCGGCCUUCUAAGUCGAACGUGAAAUCCCCGGGCUCAACCCGGGAACUGCGUCCGAUACUGAAAGGCUUGAAUCCGGGAGAGGGAUGCGGAAUUCCAGGUGUAGCGGUGAAAUGCGUAGAUAUCUGGAGGAACACCGGUGGCGAAGGCGGCAUCCUGGACCAACACUGACGCUGAGGAGCGAAAGCCAGGGGAGCAAACGGG
rnacentral:rRNA from 1 species